GGGGAGGGAUGUCGCCCGGUGGCGGCCCCAGUCUUCAAAAUUGGUGGGCGGCGGCGCAGAGCCGGCGUCGGUGGGUUCGACUCCCACGCCUUCCCGC
rnacentral:tRNA from 1 species